GACUCUCCAGAGGGUGGUACAGUCUGCCCAACGCAUCACCCGGGGCAAACUACCUGCCCUCCAGGACACCUACAGCACCCGAUGUCACAGGAAGGCCAAAAAUAUCCUCAAGGACAACAACCACUCGAGCCACUGCCUGUUCACCCGCAAUCAUCCAGAAGGCAAGGAAGAUUUGAACCAAAUUAACCCCAACAUUUCCCCAAGUAACUGAGUCUCCUCAUUGAAAACAUCUGAAGUUCUUCAAAGGAUAAUGACCCAACACACCUCCAGGCUGUGUAAAGGCUAUUUAACCAAGAAGGAGAAUCAUGGAGUGCUACAUCAGAUGACCUGGCCUCCACAAUCACCCGACCUCAACCCAAUUGAGAUGAUUUGCGAUGAGUUGGACCACAGAGUGAAGGAAAAGCAGCCAACAAGUGCUCAGCAUAUGUGGGAACUCCUUCAAUACUGUUGGAAAAGCAUUUCAGGUGAAACUGGUUGAGAGAAUGCAAAGCGUGGCUACUUUGAAGAAUCUAGAAUCUAAGAUAUAUUUUGAUUUGUUUAACACUUUUUUGGUUACUACAUGAUUCCAUAUUCGUUAUUUCAUAGUUUUGAUGUCUUCACUAUUAUUCUACAAUGUAGGAAAUAUUAACAAUAAA